CCCUUAGAUGUCCUGGGCCGCACGCGCGCUACACUGAGUGUCUGAGAUACGAGUCUGCCUGGUCCGGCAAGGUCUAGGUAAUCGCUAAAAGACACAUCAUGCUUGGGAUAGAUUAUUGCAAAUAUUAAUCUUGAACGAGGAAUUCCUAGUAAGCGCAAGUCAACAGCUUGCGUUGAUUACGUCCCUGCCCUUUGUACACACCGCCCGUCGCUACUACUGAUUGGAUGUUUAAGCGAGGUUCUCGAACUGCUAGCGACUUAGCUUCGGUGAGGUCGCAGUGUGGGAAGUGAACCUAGCUUUGGAGUCUAGAGGAAGUAAAAGUCGUAACA
rnacentral:rRNA from 1 species